rnacentral:rRNA from 1 species
GUUUUAUAUAAAAAUUUCUCAAGAUAGCCAUCGCAUGUCUAAGUAUAAGCAAUCUAUACUGUGAAACUGCGAAUGGCUCAUUAAAUCAGUUAUCGUUUAUUUGAUAGUACCUUACUACUUGGAUAACCGUGGUAAUUCUAGAGCUAAUACAUGCUAAAAACCCCGACUUCGGAAGGGGUGUAUUUAUUAGAUAAAAAACCAAUGCCCUUCGGGGCUCCUUGGUGAAUCAUGAUAACUUAACGAAUCGCAUGGCCUUGCGCCGGCGAUGGUUCAUUCAAAUUUCUGCCCUAUCAACUUUCGAUGGUAGGAUAGUGGCCUACCAUGGUAUCAACGGGUAACGGGGAAUUAGGGUUCUAUUCCGGAGAGGGAGCCUGAGAAACGGCUACCACAUCCAAGGAAGGCAGCAGGCGCGCAAAUUACCCAAUCCCGACACGGGGAGGUAGUGACAAUAAAUACUGAUACAGGGCUCUUUUGGGUCUUGUAAUUGGAAUGAGUACAAUUUAAAUACCUUAACGAGGAACAAUUGGAGGGCAAGUCUGGUGCCAGCAGCCGCGGUAAUUCCAGCUCCAAUAGCGUAUAUUAAAGUUGUUGCAGUUAAAAAGCUCGUAGUUGAACCUUGGGCCUGGCUGGCCGGUCUGCCUCACCGCAUGUACUGGUUCGGCCGGGCCUUUCCUCCUGGGGAUCCGCAUGCCCUUCACUGGGUGUGUUGGGGAACCAGGACUUUUACUUUGAAAAAAUUAGAGUGUUCAAAGCAGGCCUUUGCUCGAAUACAUUAGCAUGGAAUAAUAGAAUAGGACGUGCGGUCCUAUUUUGUUGGUUUCUAGGACCGCCGUAAUGAUUAAUAGGGAUAGUCGGGGGCAUCAGUAUUCAGUUGUCAGAGGUGAAAUUCUUGGAUUUACUGAAGACUAACUACUGCGAAAGCAUUUGCCAAGGAUGUUUUCAUUAAUCAGUGAACGAAAGUUAGGGGAUCGAAGACGAUCAGAUACCGUCGUAGUCUUAACCGUAAACUAUGCCGACUAGGGAUCGGGCGAUGUUAUUCUUUUGACUCGCUCGGCACCUUACGAGAAAUCAAAGUCUUUGGGUUCUGGGGGGGAGUAUGCGUCCGCAAGGCUGAACUAG